UAAGGUAGCAUAAUCAUUUGUUAUCUAAAUGAUAACUAGUAUGAAUGGUCUGACGAGAAAAUAACUUUCUAAAAAGAAAUAAUAAAAAUUUAUCUUAAAGUAAAAAAGCUUUAAAAACUUAGAAAGACGAGAAGACCCUAGAACCUGUCUAUCUGCAUAGUUUGUUGGGGUGACAUUAUUUUAAAACAAAUAACUAUUUUAACUCAUUAAGAGACUUAACCUAUCUUUUAAAAAAAAGAAAAAGGUACUCUAGGGAUAACAGCAUAAUCUUCUUUUAGAGCCCUAAUCGACAAGAAAGAUUUUGACCUCGAUGUUGAAUUGAUAUUCCUUCUUAAAGCAGAAUUUCUA
rnacentral:rRNA from 1 species